GCCAGGCACCAGGGCGGACGGACCCCUGCCACGCUCUUACUCUCUGGCCCGGCCGCUCUCACACACACACACUCUGGCUCUCCCACUACCUCCGUUUCGCUAAUUAAUGAAGCUAGUUUGUCAGGUGCAUUAGGUGUGGAACUCAGGUGUGUAGGUGAGGUGGUCAGGUGUGGUGAGGAGCUGGUGGCGGGUGUGUGGUACAUAAAAAAAGAUAUCUUACAGUGUUGUGGAGUGUGAUAGAGAAGAGUUAACUAUCAGGGCAGGUGUUUGAGUACCGGCGCGGAGUGUGAGCCAGACCACAGCGCCAACUGAAGUCACUACUACCUUGUGGGAGGAACACUGGUAUGUGACUCCUGAUAGUAACUGUCGAGACUUUAAGGAACAUUACUGACGAAGAAGUAGGAGGUGAGAGCAUUGACCAGCGGCGUCACCACCAACAGUUGAACACACCACCCCAUACCUCGGGGCAGUGGGUCACCCUCCCUCUGUCUCUACUCACACACACACUUCCUUCCCUCAGCCUCUUCUCAACUCGCCUCCAUCAUCUUCCACAUUUAUUAUCCAUUAUUAUUAUGUUAAAACCAACACUAUAAAAUACUAUAUAGUAUUUCGAUUAGUUUAUUCUCUGUAAUGUAAUUUUCAAAUAAUAUCUGUUAACAAAUACAAAUAAUUUUCUGACGGUAGAAAUAUUUGGUAAAUUAAUUUCCAUUUAAUAGUUUACUCUAGUGUGAGUUGUGUCUGCCUCGGUACUCUGCCGUGAGACUCCCUUAAACACACACCAAUAUUACCAAGCUGUUACCAUCUCCCAAACUGUCUAGAAAAACUUCAAACACUCUCCUCUGACAAGUUGUAUACACUCCCCAAGUAACCCAACAAAGUUUUAUAAACUCAUUACAUCAGACUCUCUGAAUCCUAGUCCAGGUUCCAAAGCUUUUCUCACAAGACUCGAACUUUCCAUUUGGCUAAACUUUACAUUUUCUCACGUACGACACAGCUGACAACCCUUCUUCCUGAUCACCUGGUGACACCUUCACCCCAUGGCCUCCUCGUCCCCUGCCCUUGGCGUUAUGGCCGCCCCGCCAUAAACUCCACUAUACUCACCUCUGUUACAAC